rnacentral:SRP_RNA from 1 species
CCCUCACGCGGCGCUAACUGGUUGAACUCCCCCAGGGUCGGAAGACAGCAAGGGUAGAUCGGCUCUGGCGGGUGCGUGAGGGG